GUGCUCACUUCAGCAGCACAUAUACUAAAGUUGGAACAAUACAGAGAAGAUUAGCACGGCCCCAGCGCAAGGAUGACAUGCAAAUUCGUGAAGCGUUCCUUAUUUUU
rnacentral:snRNA from 1 species